AAUUUUCGGCAAUGGGGGCAACCCUGACCGAGCGACGCCGCGUGAGUGAAGACGGCCUGCGGGUUGUAAAGCUCCGUUGUAAGGGAAGAACGGUAGUGGUAGGGAAUGAUCACUCCCUGAGGGUACCUUACCAGAAAGCCACGGCUGACUACGUGCCGGCAGCCCUGGUAAUACGUAGGUGGCAAGCGUUAUCCGGAAUUAUUGGGCGUAAAGGGAGCGCAGGCGGUUUAUUAAGUCUGAUGUCAAAAGACGGAGCUCAACUUCGUGAUGCAUUAGAAACUGGUAGACUAGAGUGCAGGAGAGGUGAGUGGAAUUCCAUGUGUAGCGGUAAAAUGCGUAGAUAUAUGGAGGAACACCAGUGGCGAAGGCGGCUCACUGGCCUGUAACUGACGCUGAGGCUCGAAAGCGUGGGGAGCAAAUA
rnacentral:rRNA from 1 species